UACAGAGGUCUCAAGCGUUGUUCGGAUUCAUUGGGCGUAAAGGGUGCGUAGGCGGCGCGGUAAGUCGGGUGUGAAAUCUCGGGGCUUAACUCCGAAACUGCAUUCGAUACUGCCGUGCUUGAGGACUGGAGAGGAGACUGGAAUUUACGGUGUAGCGGUGAAAUGCGUAGAUAUCUGGAGGAACACCGGUGGCGAAGGCGGCAUCCUGGACCGACACUGACGCUGAGGAGCGAAAGCGUGGGGAGCGAACAGG
rnacentral:rRNA from 1 species